GAUGAACGCUGGCGGCGUGCUUAAUACAUGCAAGUCGAACGAAGAGCCUUUGUAGCAAUACAGGGGUUUCUUAGUGGCGAACGGGUGCGUAACGCGUUGGUGACCUGCCCCAAAGUGUGGGAUAACAGUUCGAAAGGACUGCUAAUACCGCCUGUGGUCACCGGGAUUAGAAUCCGGUGACUAAAGCAGUAAUGCGCUUUGGGAGGGACCUGCGUCCCAUCAGCUAGUUGGUGAGGUAACGGCCCACCAAGGCUUCGACGGGUAGGGGACCUGAGAGGGUGGUCCCCCACACUGGCACUGAAACACGGGCCAGACACCUACGGGUGGCAGCAGUAGGGAAUAUUGGGCAAUGGGCGAAAGCCUGACCCAGCAACGCCGCGUGCACGAUGAAGGUCUUCGGAUCGUAAAGUGCUUUUCUGAGAGAUGAGAAAGGACAGUAUCUCAGGAAUAAGUCUCGGCUAACUACGUGCCAGCCGCCGCGGUAAUAC
rnacentral:rRNA from 1 species